rnacentral:tRNA from 1 species
UAGCUCAGAUGGUAAAGCAUCUGCUUGCAAUGCAGGAGACCCAGGUUCGACCCCUGG